GACGAACGCUGGCGGCGUGCUUAACACAUGCAAGUCGUACGGUAAGGCCCUUUCGGGGGUACACGAGUGGCGAACGGGUGAGUAACACGUGCGUAACCUGCCCACAACUUUGGGAUAACGCUAGGAAACUGGUGCUAAUACUGGAUAUGUGCUCCUGCUGCAUGGUGGGGGUUGGAAAGCUCCGGCGGUUGUGGAUGGACUCGCGGCCUAUCAGCUUGUUGGUGGGGUAGUGGCCUACCAAGGCGGCGACGGGUAGCCGGCCUGAGAGGGUGACCGGCCACACUGGGACUGAGAUACGGCCCAGACUCCUACGGGAGGGAGCAGGGGGGAAUAUUGCACAAGGGGCGCAAGCCUGAUGCAGCAACGCCGCGUGCGGGAUGACGGCCUUCGGGUGGUAAACCGCUUUCAGCAGGGACGAAGCUUUUUGUGACGGUACCUGCAGAAGAAGCACCGGCUAACUACGUG
rnacentral:rRNA from 1 species